rnacentral:rRNA from 1 species
UACGAAGGGGGGCUAGCGUUGUCCGGAAUUAUUGGGCGUAAAGAGCUCGUAGGCGGUUCGGCAAGUCGGAUGUGAAAUCUCCACGCUUAACGUGGAGGGGCCAUUCGAAACUGCUGUGACUCGAGUCCGGUAGGGGAGUGUGGAAUUCCCGGUGUAGCGGUGAAAUGCGCAGAUAUCGGGAGGAACACCAGUGGCGAAGGCGACUUCCUGGCCUGUUCUUGACGCUGAGGCGCGAAAGCUAGGGUAGCAAACGGG